CUGCUGCCUCCCGUAGGAGUUUGGGCCGUGUCUCAGUCCCAAUGUGGCCGGUCACCCUCUCAGGUCGGCUACUGAUCGUCGGUUUGGUGGGCCGUUACCCCGCCAACUGCCUAAUCAGACGCGGGGCCAUCUCAUACCACCGGAGUUUUUCACACUGUACCAUGCGGUACUGUGCGCUUAUGCGGCAUUAGCAGUCAUUUCUAACUGUUAUUCCCCUGUAUGAGGCAGGUUCCCCACGCGUUACUCACCCGUCCGCCG
rnacentral:rRNA from 1 species